UGAGGGGUGAGCGCCCGGCACCGGGAGGCUGAGGGGGCAGAGCGGGAACCGAUGACGGUCCUGUCACGAAGAGCGCCCGUGGGAAAGCGCUGCUGAAGAGAGACCGCUGCUCGCAGCGCCUGGGAUGCGAGGGGAGAGGAGGUUUGCCAAGCCGACACGGCACGAGAGGGGAGUCUCAGCCCACUGGCGUGCCAAGGGCAAACUGGAGGGGCAGGGCACCCGAAUGAAGGCACCCCCGGACCGGCUGGCCCUGGGGAGUAGAGGAAGCCCCCUCAGAAAUAAUGGGACAUCUAUGACCCCAAAGUCUUCAGUCCUCCCUUCUCGAGUCCAGGCUGAACAAACCCAGCUCCUUCAGCCGCUCCUCGUAGGACUUGUUCUCCAGACCCCUCACCACCUCCUCCUUGCAGCUGCAGCAGUCACCAUCUCCCCUGCAGAACAAAUUGAGAGAAAUGUUUUCAUACAUCCUAACUGGAUUCAGAACAGUAGCUGA
rnacentral:lncRNA from 1 species